rnacentral:lncRNA from 1 species
CCGGGAUUGGGUGCCGUGAGUGGUUCUGAGCCUGGAUUGGGCACAGUGGUUGUGGACCGGGAUUGGGUGCCGCGAGUGGUUGUGGGCCUGGAUUGGGCGCAGUAGUUGUGGGCUGGGAUUGGGCGCAGUGGUUGUGGGCGGGGAUUGGAGCAGUGGUUCUGGGCCUGGAUUGGGUGCCGUGAGUGGUUGUGGGCCUGGAUUGGGCACAGUGGUUGUGGACCGGGAUUGGGUGCCGCGAGUGGUUGUGGGCCUGGAUUGGGCGCAGUAGUUGUGGGCUGGGAUUGGGCGCGGUGGUUGUGGACCGGGAUUGGGUGCCGUGAGUGGUUCUGGGCCUGGAUUGGGCGCAGUGGUUGUGGGCUGGGAUUGGGCGCAGUGGUUCUGGGCCUGGAUUGGGUGCCGCGAGUGGUUGUGGGCCUGGAUUGGGCGCAGUGGCAUGUCCCCGCCCACCGCGGCUGCUCCUACUCUAUAAAGUCAGAGUUUUACCUUCACCGAAGCCACAGAAUCCACUCUCCUGAAUCUUCGGUGAGAACCGUGUCUUGGAGAUGAGAGAGGAUUUGGAAGACGGAUUCUAGCAGGACGAGGGGCAGGUGGGGGGGAGACGGGAUGGACAGAGAAGUCCGCUCCCUGCACCACGCUCCCAUUGGUCAAACCCGCUUUGCAAAAUGGCGCAUCGUUAAACUCCCUGACAGGUAUCAAGUAGCGUAGCGUUCCAGCUUCAAAACCGUCGUUGUUUCCUCGGGGAUUCCCUGUUUCUGCAGCUUCCGCCACUUGUUGGCUCCGGUGCGUUUUGCGGAAGCCAAUCCAAGUGGAACCCAAGCAAACACCAGUGGCCGAUGAGGCCCGGCAACGGUCGUAGAGGAAACUGGGGAAACUGGGCUGGCCUGACCUCGGUGGCGGCAAGAAGGCUAACUGGAAGAGACACGUCGCGUCCAACGUGUAACUCAAGGCUUCCUGGCGACACACACUCGUGUUUCAUCACCGCGUGAGACCAGAAGGAGUUGGCCUGUGACCAACCCGUGUUCAGAUACGGGCUAGGAUUCCAGGAGUUUAAGUUUUCCCCAGAGGGAAGACCCAGGUGGGGGUCCCGGGAGGGAUGAGUGUGUUUUGGCUCUUAGGGAUUUGAAAUGAAAACCUUCUCCUCACCCUGAAGAUUCCUGAGGCCCAGCCACCCGCACACGCCGUUCCCCGUCUCCCGGAAGUCGUCUCCUGAAGGUCACAAAGCUGUUCCCCAUCUGUGAGGCCCAAGUGUUGGCAAAAACUUCUCUGCCCUCUGGAAAUUUCACGAGUGGAACCUCUUCACUGUUGUAUUAUUCAGGACUCUUUCUGGUGCCGGGAACGAAGCCAGAUCUAAACUACCUUAAACAAUGAAAAUCAUUGGAAACACGCAUGAGUAGCUCCUAGACUCAAAGAAAGCUUUGGUAGAAUCCAGGCUACGCAAGAGAUUUGGGCGGGGGGGGGGGGGGGGGGGGGAGGACAGCUAGAAUCCGAAGCAGGCUCCGGGCUCCCAGCUGUCAGCACAGAGCUCGACGCGGGGCUUGAACCCAUG